rnacentral:lncRNA from 1 species
UUAGAUAGGGACCCCAAAAUCAUUGAUUCAUUUGGCUGUUUGACGCUUAUGGCAAGAGCUUGCCGGUCGUCAACUCCCUCAAAUGAGCCUCUUCUGGGUGAGAUCUUCGUACCGACCCACGCGAGAAGAGCUUCUCGGGGGCCCGAACUACACGACCAUCGACAUCGGGUUCUAGACAAGGGUCUCAAAGUCAUGGAUUUCCUUGACUGUUU